rnacentral:rRNA from 1 species
CAAUAGCGUAUAUUUAAGUUGUUGCAGUUAAAAAGCUCGUAGUUGGAUUUCGGAUGGGACUUGCCGGUCCGUCGUUUCGAUGUGCACUGGCCAGUCCUAUCUUGUUGUCGGGGACUAGCUCCUGGGCUUCACUGUCCGGGACUAGGAGCUGACGAGGUUACUUUGAGUAAAUUAGAGUGUUCAAAGCAAGCCUACGCUCUGAAUACAUUAGCAUGGAAUAACACGAUAGGACUCUGGCUUAUCUUGUUGGUCUGUGAGACCAGAGUAAUGAUUAAGAGGGACAGUCGGGGGCAUUCGUAUUUCAUUGUCAGAGGUGAAAUUCUUGGAUUUAUGAAAGACGAACUUCUGCGAAAGCAUUUACCAAGGAUGUUUUCAUUA